rnacentral:rRNA from 2 species
UGGGGAAUAUUGCACAAUGGGCGCAAGCCUGAUGCAGCAACGCCGCGUGCGGGAUGACGGCCUUCGGGUUGUAAACCGCUUUCAGCAGGGACGAAGCGCAAGUGACGGUACCUGCAGAAGAAGCACCGGCUAACUACGUGCCAGCAGCCGCGGUGAUACGUAGGGUGCGAGCGUUGUCCGGAUUUAUUGGGCGUAAAGAGCUUGUAGGCGGUCGGUCACGUCGAAAGUGCAAACUCAGGGCUUAACCCUGAGCCUGCUUUCGAUACGGGCUGACUAGAGGAAGGUAGGGGAGAAUGGAAUUCCCGGUGGAGCGGUGGAAUGCGCAGAUAUCGGGAGGAACACCAGUGGCGAAGGCGGUUCUCUGGGCAACAACUGACGCUGAGGAGCGAAAGCGUGGGGAGCGAACAGG